rnacentral:rRNA from 1 species
UAGAUUGUAUUGAUAAAUUUUAUUUUAUGGGCUGAAAUUUAAAAUAAUAACUAACAAUAAUUUAAAAUUAAAUAAAUUAAAGUUAUUUUAAAAAUAUAAAAUUACUACUAUUUGUAUAAUAACAAAUUUAAUAAAUAAAUAAAAUUUUAAAUUUAACUAAUUAAAUUAAUCUAAUUCAAAAAAUAACCAGCUAUUACAAAUUAAGUAGGCUUUAUUGGCCCUACCUUUGGUAUCAGGGUUAAUUAAAAAUAAGUGAUUAAAUUAAUUUUCUCGAAAACUAACUAAAUAGUAUUUUAAAUAUUAUUGUUUAAACAAUAAAUAUAAUUAAAUUCUAGAUUUUACAUUUAACCAAGUUUUUUAUAUCUAGUUUCUAAAAAAAUCAAUUAAAAUGAAAAGCAAAUUAUAUCAAUUUUAUAUUUUAAUAUAUUUGUUUUAAAAUUUUAAAAGAUAAGUGUUAAAAUAGUGAACAUAAAAAAAUUUAAUUAAAUAAAGUAAAAUUAAAAUUUUUUAACAAAAAAAUAUAUUAAAAUAUUAAUUGUAAAAUUUAAAUUUAAUUAAUAAUUUCAGGUUGAUUUAGAAAAAAUUCUAAUUAAUAAAACUUUAAUCUUAUGAUUAAAUUAAUAUACUAUUUAAAUUAAUUAAUGUAAACUAGGCAAUUAACUACAUUUUCAACUGUUUAUCAAAAACAUAGUUUAAGGUAAAAAUCUUAAAUACACUCUGCUCAAUGAAAAAUUAAAUAGCUGCAGUAAAUUAACUGUACUAAGGUAGCAUAAUAAAUUGUUUUUUAAUUAAAAACUAGAAUGAAAGAUUAAAUGAAAAAUAAACUUAUACUCUAAUUAAAAAGUAAAAUUUAAUAAUUAAGUUAAAAAUCUUAAAUUAAACUUAAAAGACAAGAAGACCCUUUAGAAUUUCAUUUUAAACAAUUAAACAAAUUUUAAGUUAAAAAUUUGGUUGGGGAGACUGUAAAACAAAAAUCUUUUACUUAAAAAUGUCACAAAAUAAGUGUAUUCUUAAUAAUCCAUAAAAUGAAAAAAAAACAAUUUACCUAAGGGAUAACAGCGUAAAAUUUCUUAAAAGAUCAAAUUCACAGAAUUUAUUACGACCUCGAUGUUGGAUUAAGAAUUGUUCAAUAAAGCAGAAUUUAUGAAUCAUGGUCUGUUCGACCAUUAAAAUCUUACAUGAUCUGAGUUCAGACCGGCGCAAGCCAGGUCAGUUUAUAUCUUUAAACAAAUAAUUUAUUAUAGUACGAAAGGAUUUAAUAAAAUAAAAAAUUUAUA